rnacentral:rRNA from 1 species
UACGGGGGGGGCAAGCGUUGUUCGGAAUUACUGGGCGUAAAGGGAGCGUAGGUGGCCCAGUAAGUCAGUGGUGAAAUCUCCUCGCUUAACGAGGAAAUUGCCAUUGAUACUGCAGGGCUUGAGUACAGUUGCCGUUGGCGGAAUAUGACAUGUAGUGGUGAAAUACUUAGAUAUGUCAUAGAACACCGAUUGCGAAGGCAGCUGACGAAACUGUAACUGACACUGAGGCUCGAAAGUGUGGGGAUCAAACAGG